rnacentral:rRNA from 1 species
GACGAACGCUGGCGGCGUGCUUAACACAUGCAAGUCGAGCGGUAAGGCCCUUUCGGGGGUACACGAGCGGCGAACGGGUGAGUAACACGUGGGUGACCUGCCCUCAGCUCUGGGAUAAGCCUGGGAAACCGGGUCUAAUACUGGAUAUGACUCCAUGACGCAUGUUGUGGGGUGGAAAGCCUUGUGCGGCUGAGGAUGGGCCCGCGGCCUAUCAGCUUGUUGGUGGGGUGANGGCCUACCAAGGCGACGACGGGUAGCCGGCCUGAGAGGGCGACCGGCCACACUGGGACUGAGACACGGCCCAGACUCCGUACGGGAGGCAGCAGGUGGGGAAUCUUGCGCAAUGGGCGAAAGCCUGACGCAGCGACGCCGCGUGAGGGAUGACGGCCU